rnacentral:rRNA from 1 species
AUUGAACGCUGGCGGCAUGCUUUACACAUGCAAGUCGAACGGUAACAGGCCUUCGGGUGCUGACGAGUGGCGAACGGGUGAGUAAUGCAUCGGAACGUGCCCAGAGGUGGGGGAUAACGCAGCGAAAGCUGUGCUAAUACCGCAUGUGAUCUGAGGAUGAAAGCGGGGGACCAGGCAGCAAUGUUUGGCCUCGCGCCUUUGGAGCGGCCGAUGUCAGAUUAGGUAGUUGGUGGGGUAGAGGCCUACCAAGCCGACGAUCUGUAGCUGGUCUGAGAGGACGACCAGCCACACUGGGACUGAGACACGGCCCAGACUCCUACGGGAGGCAGCAGUGGGGAAUUUUGGACAAUGGGCGCAAGCCUGAUCCAGCAAUGCCGCGUGCGGGAAGAAGGCCUUCGGGUUGUAAACCGCUUUUGUACGGAACGAAAAGGCUCUGGCUAAUACCUGGGGCUGAUGACGGUACCGUAAGAAUAAGCACCGGCUAACUACGUG